GUACCAGGGAGCAGAGUCUGGUCCUCAGCAGCAGUCUGGAGUCUCUGGAGAAGAGGGAGGAGGUUCUGCAGGACAAACUGGGUUCUCUGGAGAAUCAACACCUGCAGGAUGCAAGCAAGCUGAGGAGCCAGCUGGACCAGGCCCAGGCCCACACACACACACUGCAGAAAGAGUAUGAAGACACACAGUCGCAGCUGUUGGACCUCCGUCAGCGCUAUGAGAGAACAGAGAAGGAGAAGCUGAACAUCCACCAGGAGCUGGAGCAGUGCAGGAGCAACCUGAAGCUGCUGCAGGACAAGACCAGCUCUCCAUCCAUACUGCAGCCUGUCCAAGCCAUAUUCAUUGGCCUUGUCCUGGCUCUGCUGUACUGGUGUUUCGGCCAGUUGUGGUAGAAAGGUACACACCGACAUGACAUCAGUCUGUCUCUCUUUUCCAUCUGUCCGUCAUCUGUGGAGGGAAAGAUGACGGAGGUGAAACUGUCGUCCUGCUCUGAGAUGAAUUCAGGGUCCUGUGUUGAGAAAAGUACCAGUACACUGGAGUUAUUCGAGUCAGACAGUGAUGUUUUGACCCCACGCAGUUUUCCUCUGUUUGAAUUUUAAAGUUUAAUAUCUGUUGGUACAGACUGCUGUUUUAUAUCAGCUUUUGUGUUGAACCCUGAAUUCUGAUCAGC